rnacentral:lncRNA from 1 species
UAGGAAAUUUUUUCCUUCUAUCAAUCAACUUUAAAUGUCUCCGCAUUGUCAUGUUAUCCUCUACACGUUCAAAAACAAUUUACAUUAAUUGGACAUACAAUAGUCUUAAUUGGAAGGAAGAUAGAUGAGGUUUCCUUGCAAACACGUACAAUAAUAUCGAAAGGGAAAUAACCAUUAAUUAGAGGGGUCAUGGGUAUAAUAAUUAACGAUUCCAUAUUUCCAUCCCGUCUUGCCUUUAAUUUAAUUGGCCUAAUUUUCAAUUGUUAUUUGUAUGGUGAGGAGGCAAGUGGGGACACUGGGCAGUAGGGGUGGGCAAAAUAACCAAUCCGACCCGAUUCGAUCCGAAAAAAAUUGGGUUCAGAUCGGAUCGGAUUGACCAUAAUAUCCGAUCGGAUCAAAUGUUGCCAACCCGAUCGGAUCGUGAUCAGAUCGGGUGAAAUUUGAUCCAAUCCGAUAACCUGAAUGGGUUGGCUUAAGGAAGAAAGUGAACAACCCACACUGAUAUAGCACACAUGCAUCCAACAACAAGCAGUCAAGCACUAGUGACGCCGCAGAGCACAGACCACACACUACACAGCCUCACACACCACACACGUAUACGUUGCAUGGUUAAUAAAAGUUAGCAAGCUGUCAUAAAAAUUAUUAACAUUUACUGCUGUACCGUACAUCCGCCUUGGCCGUACAGCAGUCCUCCAACUUGCUUCACCAACCAUUGCCACGUGGCACAAUCAUGGCCAUUGAAUCAUGAACGGUUGAGAUUUGGUCAAGAUUGCCAGUUAUCCCAUGCACUCAUAUCUAUUGUAAGCUCAUUUCAUCAUCCAAUCAGUGCUCGGUCAACAGAAAAAGUCAACUUUUUUUAAACAAGCCAAAUUUUAAGAUGAUCUUGACUGAUCUUAAGGUUUUCGGACCUCCGGAAUCCAAAUUUGACCUCCGUUUAUCUGUUUGGAGCCUCGAAGUACGUGAAAUUAAUAUUUUUCCUAAUAAACACAUAAAAAUACACAAAAUUAAAUAUAUUUAAAACAUAAUUAAUAAUUCCUAAUAUAUUACAUAAACAAAAAUAUAAAUUAUAACAUAAGCAUAAAAUAACAUAUUAUCGCUUGAUAAUUAAACAAUUUUUAAUACUAAUCAAAUCGCACAUGAUAAAUGCAUGAUUGAGGCUCUUGAAGUUUCCAAAUAAUUAUUUCUAUGAAAUAAGGAGUUGGCUUGCACAUUAUGGCGGGAAAAAUAACCUGAAUGGGUUGGCUUAAAGAAGAAAGUGAACAACCCACACUGAUACAGCACACAUGCAUCCAACAACAAGCAGUCAAGCACUAGUGACGCCGCAGAGCACAGACCACACACUACAUAGCCUCACACACCACACACGUAUACGGCACACAUCACAGAGAUGGAGGCACAAAACGAGUAGAGAUAGAGGCACAUAACUAGUAGACCACACACUCAGCGCACCCAGUCGUACCCAGCAGCCUCAUUCCCCUCCCUCACGCCUCACUACCUCCCCCUCAAACCUCAACAAGAGACCACACAGCGCACUCCAGCCUCUGCUCCCCUCCUUCACGCCUCAUGGGUCACUACCCCACCCUCAAGUCAACACUCAACACAAGUAGAAACACACACACACACACAGCUGCAACCAACACACGCUCGCCACAAUCACCGCCGACACCAACCGCCAGCUGAUCUACUGCUCUGUGAGGACCGUGACCAAAUCUGCUGCUACCGCCUACUGAUUGUUGUCUCCGCACCUCCACACACUUCAUUACCAAGUUUCUCCUCUAAGUUCCAUACAAAAUCCAGCAAACGGCAGCCCAAUUUUUGUUUCGAGUUUGGAUUUUUGAGUUUAGUUCAAAUACAAAUAGUUGUAAUGUGUAAUAUAUUAUAUAACGUAUGUUAACGUUGAUUAGGAAUUGGUUUUGUUUAAUUCUCCAUAUUCCACUAUAAGUGAGGAGAGGAUAGGAAAAGAAAAGAAAAAAAAAAGGCAGCAUUUGAUUUCUAGUAACACCACACCUACAUAAUAACGAAAAUAAAUUGGGCCAUCGGGGUGAUGAAUAAGAAUUGAAAAAAAAAUUGUGAAAAUGUUGGAUUAUUGGCACCUCUUCAUUAAUCUUAUAAAACCCCUAUUAUAUACAAUUAUAUUUAAGGACAUAUUAUUAGAAUUAACCCCAUUUAUAUUUUCUCUUUCUCGUUGUAUGGUUUUUUUUUCUUCUUUUCAAUUUCAAAUAUAAUUUGUUCCAAAGCAGCUCAAAGUCUCGAUUUUUUUUCUUUUGAAACUAAAUAAUCCAAAGUUUUUGUUUUAUACACAAAAAUAACUAAAGUUUUAAUAACCUUUUAUCUAAUAUCUUUCAAUUGGACAAGAAUCUCAAUAAAUAAUUGUUAUGUAAGAUAAAUGAAAGAAAAAGCACAAAAUAAAUUUUAAUAAUUAACUUAGUGGUCAAUAAAAACUAAACUCAGUGUUAAAUCCUAAUCUCUUUCAACCCCUUUUUUUUUUCACCUCACUAUCAAGAAUCCUGCAGGGUAAUAGCCUAGUCUUGACUUUGAAUUAACGCUGGCCCUCUCAAGUCUUCAAGUUGUUAUCCUGUACACAUUCAAAAACGAUUGAUAUUAAUUGGACCCACGGAAGUCUUAACUGAACAUUAAUUGGAAGAAAGAUAGAGGAGGUUUCCUUGAAAAAUACUUCCAAUAAUUUUGAAAGGGAUAGAGCCGUUUGUUGGCCUAAUUUUCAAUUGUUAUUUGUAUGGUGAGGAGGCAAGUGGGGACACUGGGCAGUAGGGGUGGGCAAAAUAACCAAUCCGACCCGAUUCGAUCCGAAAAAAAUUGGGUUCAGAUCGGAUCGGAUUGACCAUAAUAUCCGAUCGGAUCAAAUGUUGCCAACCCGAUCGGAUCGUGAUCAGAUCGGGUGAAAUUUGAUCCAAUCCGAUAACCUGAAUGGGUUGGCUUAAGGAAGAAAGUGAACAACCCACACUGAUAUAGCACACAUGCAUCCAACAACAAGCAGUCAAGCACUAGUGACGCCGCAGAGCACAGACCACACACUACACAGCCUCACACACCACACACGUAUACGGCACACAUCACAGAGAUGGAGGCACAAAACGAGUAGAGAUAGAGGCACAAAACUAGUAGACCACACACUCAGCGCACCCAGCCGUACCCAGCAGCCUCACUCCCUCCCUCACGCCUCACUACCUCCCCCUCAAACCUCAAUGAGAGACCACACAGUGCACUCCAGCCUCUGCUCCCCUUCUUCACGCCUCAUGGGUCACUGCCCCACCCUCAAGUCAACACUCAACACAAGUAGAAACACACACACACACACACACACACACAGCCGCAGCCAACACACGCUCGCCACAAUCACCGCCGACGCCAACCGCCAGCCGAUCUACUGCUCUGCGAGGACCGCGACCAGAUCUGCUGCUACCGCUUAUUGACUAUUGUCUCCGCACCUCCACACACUUCAUUACCAAGUUUCUCCUCUAAGUUCCAUACAAAAUCCAGCAAACGGCAGCCCAAUUUUUGUUUCGAGUUUGGAUUUUUGAGUUUAGUUCAAAUACAAAUAAUUGUAAUGUGUAAUAUAUUAUAUAACGUAUGUUAACGUUGAUUAGGAAUUGGUUUUGUUUAAUUCUCCAUAUUCCACUAUAAGUGAGGAGAGGAUAGGAAAAGAAAAGAAAAAAAAAAGGCAGCAUUUGAUUUCUAGUAACACCACACCUACAUAAUAACGAAAAUAAAUUGGGCCAUCGGGG